rnacentral:lncRNA from 1 species
AUGGGGAAAAGGGAGGAGGACGAGGUGAGCUGUAUUAAAGAAGAGUUCAUUGGUGCUAGACGAGGUAAGGCUAGGUCUGUGCUUCAUAAACUGCCCUGAGGUUUGAUCAUCGGGCAAAAGGCUAGACUUGUACUUCAUUGGUUGGUUAGGGAUUUGGUCAUCAGCACAGGCCAGUUUCAUCACUCCUUACAGACAGGAUAUUCUUGUCCUUAGUGACUUCUUGGAGUGUCACUGGUUGGUCCACUUUGGAAGAGAAAUAAAAUAAGACAUGCAAGGCGAGUCCUCUGAAAUGGCUGCUCUGGCUCUAUUUUAAUGUGGCUCCACUCAGGUCACCUUUCACAAGAAUGUGCCAGAUUGAGGCUGAGAACAUAACGAUGAUCAAAAUAGACACAGCCCUCCCCUCCUGGAGCUCACAGAGCUUAGAAACAAGUGAGAAAGCAAGACAGUAAUCAUUACAGAAGUAAAUGUAUAAAUGUAUUUUUUUAAUGUAAGAUACCAGGAAGCAACAGGCUGCUGGAAGAGUGUCGAGCAGGGUUAUCUGACGCAGUGUAUUGUGGGGUCUUAGAAGACUGCUGGUAUUUGCCUCCGACUGUUUUACAAGCGAGCUCCUGUAGGCAGGACCCCAUCAGGUUUCUCUGUGCCUCGCCUGCAGCCCUGGCUGGUGCCACAUAGUAGCAGCUCAGUGAAUGUCCGCUGCAGUAAAGAAAUUACCAGACCAGUGCAGUUCAAGGCCUUACUCCCACCAGAGUCAACAAAAAGCUCGGUUUACAGGCUUCCAAAGUCACAACCUGUGAUGUUUGCUUUUCCUCAUUCUCAAGGAAGGAGUUCUAGAGUUCCAAACAUUUAAGAGAAGGCUCGAGGGAGAAAGUAUGCGUAGCUCCUGAUCCAGCUUGGGAUGCUUUAUCUCAAAGCCCGGAGAGUUUUUGCAGCCUUCACCCUGUCAGCAGGAAACUGGAUCUGAAGACGCGGGAGAUUACAGGAGCUUUCAGGACAAAGGAACAUAAAUCAAAAAGAAUGAAAAGAAAACAAGAUCCUUGAUCCUCCUCCUGUUAACGUUCUUUUGCAACUGUUUUGCAAGAGAGCAAGUGAGGGAGGGUAAAUGCAGUUCAUAAAAGGGAAUGAAGCCAGAAGUUAAACGGCUGAAGGCAGUGUGGAGCCCGGGUCUGCCCCCGCCCUUCUCUCUUUACUUUUUUCUGUCUUACCAUUAACAACCCAAAACAAUGAACUAACAAUUGGAAAAAGAUGUCGAAGAGAUAAGCCGUUUCCUUCCGCUCUUCCCGGUCUUGUUUCAAUUCCUGUGUAGUUCAGCAUCUCUGAGCUAUAGAUCUUCUGUAAAGAGCAAUGGUUUGAGCUCCACUUAAUAAAUCAAGAUCAGAGUGCAGAGUGGUGAUGAGCAGGUGGCAUGGAGACACUCUAUUC